AACAGGAUUAGAUACCCUGGUAGUCCACGCCGUAAACGAUGUCGACUUGGAGGUUGUGCCCUUGAGGCGUGGCUUCCGGAGCUAACGCGUUAAGUCGACCGCCUGGGGAGUACGGCCGCAAGGUUAAAACUCAAAUGAAUUGACGGGGGCCCGCACAAGCGGUGGAGCAUGUGGUUUAAUUCGAUGCAACGCGAAGAACCUUACCUGGCCUUGACAUCCACGGAAUUCUGCAGAGAUGCGGAAGUGCCUUCGGGAACCGUGAGACAGGUGCUGCAUGGCUGUCGUCAGCUCGUGUUGUGAAAUGUUGGGUUAAGUCCCGCAACGAGCGCAACCCUUAUCCUUUGUUGCCAGCGAUUUGGUCGGGAACUCAAAGGAGACUGCCGGUGAUAAACCGGAGGAAGGUGGGGAUGACGUCAAGUCAUCAUGGCCCUUACGGCCAGGGCUACACACGUGCUACAAUGGCGCAUACAAAGAGAAGCGACCUCGCGAGAGCAAGCGGACCUCAUAAAGUGCGUCGUAGUCCGGAUCGGAGUCUGCAACUCGACUCCGUGAAGUCGGAAUCGCUAGUAAUCGUGGAUCAGAACGCCACGGUGAAUACGUUCCCGGGCCUUGUACACACCGCCCGUCACACCAUGGGAGUGGGUUGCAAAAGAAGUAGGUAGCUUAACCCUCGGGAGGGCGCUUACCACUUCGUGAUUCAUGACUGGGGUGAAGUCGUAACAAGGUAACC
rnacentral:rRNA from 1 species